GCAUCAGGUUGGCAGCAGGCUGGCAGCGGGUUAGCAUCAGGUUGGCAGCGGGUUAGCAUCAGGUUGGCAGCGGGUUAGCAUCAGGUUGGCAGCUGUGUAGAAGCCUAAAUUGAGUUUCUGGGGACAUCUUGUGGGUUUGCAACUGCAGUUGAAGAUUUGGGAUGUGGCUAAAGACGGGGAGUUGGCCAGUUGGAGGAGCCACUGGCUUUUUUGACCUCGCUUUUUCUUUCUCUGUCUUAUUUGCUCUUUAUUAGUGUGGAAUGUAACAUUUUGUACUGUUUUUAUUUCUGAAGUAAACAGUUUAAAGUAUCAAGAGGAUUCAGUCUGUUUUUCGUUUUGGUUUUUUUGUCGUCAGUGAAAUGAAGGAGAAAGACGGAGAAGCUUAAGGCUUCAUUAAUUAGGAACCUAUACUAGUCAAAAAACUCGCUGUACGUGGACCAUGGCAACUUGGACCAGCCCAGCUAACAAGGAAAACAGCACGGACACUCGGGAAGAGGAGUAAAUUGGAUAACGAGCGUUGAGCAGGAGGCGGUUCAUGGAUUCUGGGAAAAGUGGACAGCUGCAGCUGAAAGGAAUGCUGAUGCUAACCGCUAAUGCUGCGGCGCUGAGCUGAGGGGCUUUUAAUGGCUGCUGAUUCCUCUGGAGAGGGGAGCCCAGGAUUAUAACCACAGAUUGUUCUGCAGCUAAUCACAGGGAAGUUCCGUCAGCGUCACUGAGAAACCAGGCUUUCCUUUUGUGUCUCAUAUGGAGAAAAAUAUGUGCCGUAAUUUUCCCCAAGGGGCAGACAGAGCUCUGGGUUAUUUAUCAGAUACCAGGCUGCAACUUUUUUCUUCCAGCUCUACUGCAGAUCAGCACACAAAUAUAAAAACACAGAGAGAAAUAAUCAAUCAGAUCUGAAAUUUCUCCCUGUUUCAUGUUUUCAGGUUCAUCCUGAAUUGAUCACUUCUGUUCAGCUGCAGGAAUUAGAAAUGAACUCGCUGCAACAAAAGGCUGGAUUAUUGUUUUUUGACUAAAGAUAUUUUUUAUUCUGUAUGUGAAAGGGAAAAUUGCUUUCACAGUCUUUUUUUUUCUAAUAACACAGACUAGACUUGGCCAGCGUUGUAGUUCAGACCAGCCAACCCGAGACCCAGACCGGCGCCCAGCGCUGGAUGAUUUCAUAAAAUACCAUCCAGAUGAGACGGAGACGGGAUGGAGACAAGACGGGAUGGAGACGAGACGGAGACGGGAUGGAGACGAGACGGAGACGGGAUGGAGACGAGACGGAGACGGGAUGGAGACAAGACGGGACGGGACAGAGACGAGACGGAGACAAGAUGGAGACGAGACGGGACAGAGACGAGACGGAGACCAUCAAGAAGUGGUCUGACACCAAAACCGCUCUCCAGUUCUACAAAACUAGACUUUGUGUCAAACUUUGUGAUAUUUUAGCCAUAAAGCCACAGUAUUCAGGUUUAACAUUAAUUAUCAUUUUCAUGAAAUAUUACAUACAGAAUGAUCAUUUUUCUUUAAUCCCAGCCAAGGGGAAACUUUUCUUUCCAGAGACUUUUCUUGUGUUUAAAAUGGUGUCGAUAUUUUCCUGGUUCGAUGUGUUUGUGACGCAGCAGCAGCGGCUGACUGAGUGGAAACAACAGGAAGCUCCUUCAGCAGCGGAUCCGUCCACAUUUGGAUCCGUCCACAUUUGGAUCCGUCCACAUUUGGAUCCGUCCACAUUUGGAUCCGUCCACAUUAUCUAAAACGUUCCUGAAACUGAAACAAAAUGCAGAAAAGAUGAUGAUAGGUCAGAAGCGUCGGUUCCAACUGGCUCAGGACCCGAUGUUUGUCCAGGGGAGACGAGUCUCUGGUCCAUCGUGAACAGGCAGAUGGACAGCUGGACCGGUUCUGGCUGAACCGGGUCUCAAUCAGAACCAAAAGGGAGGUUUGUUCUGCACCACAGGAUGAUUAAAGUUGCACAAUGAAAUGUUAA